UACGUAGGGGGGCUAGCGUUGUCCGGAUUUAUUGGGCGUAAAGAGCGUGUAGGCGACCAGGUAGGUCUGGUGUGAAAACUCGAGGCUUAACCUCGAGAUGUCAUCGGAAACCAUUUGGCUAGAGUCCGGAAGAGGAGAGUGGAAUUCCUGGUGUAGCGGUGGAAUGCGCAGAUAUCAGGAGGAACACCUAUGGCGAAGGCAGCUCGCUGGGACGGUACUGACGCUGAGGCACGAAAGCGUGGGGAGCAAACAGG
rnacentral:rRNA from 1 species